rnacentral:rRNA from 1 species
GACGAACGCUGGCGGCGUGCCUAAUACAUGCAAGUUGAGCGCUGAAGGUUGGUACUUGUACCAACUGGAUGAGCAGCGAACGGGUGAGUAACGCGUGGGUAAUCUGCCUUUGAGCGGGGGACAACAUUUGGAAACGAAUGCUAAUACCGCAUAAAAACUUUAAACACAAGUUUUAAGUUUGAAAGAUGCAAUUGCAUCACUCAAUGAUGAUCCCGCGUUGUAUUAGCUAGUUGGUGAGGUAAAGGCUCACCAAGGCGAUGAUACAUAGCCGACCUGAGAGGGUGAUCGGCCACAUUGGGACUGAGACACGGCCCAAACUCCUACGGGAGGCAGCAGGAGGGAAUCUUCGGCAAUGGACGAAAGUCUGACCGAGCAACGCCGCGGGAGUGAAGAAGGGUUUCGGAUCGUAAAACUCUGUUGGUAGAGAAGAACGUUGGUGAGAGUGGAAAGCUCAUCAAGUGACGGUAACUACCCAGAAAGGGACGGCUAACUACGUG